UACGUAGGGGGCAAGCGUUGUCCGGAAUCAUUGGGCGUAAAGAGCGCGUAGGCGGCCCUGUAAGUCCGCUGUGAAAGUCAAGGGCUCAACCCUUGGAUGCCGGUGGAUACUGCAGGGCUAGAGUCCGGAAGAGGCGAGUGGAAUUCCUGGUGUAGCGGUGAAAUGCGCAGAUAUCAGGAAGAACACCAAUGGCGAAAGCAGCUUUCUGGGACGGUACUGACGCUGAGACGCGAAAGCGUGGGGAGCGAACAGG
rnacentral:rRNA from 1 species